GGGGCGCCAGGAAUAGCGAGAUCCAGUCUAACAUGGCUGGAGCUAUCGGAGCCCAUGGCCGUCGGCGAACUCCAAGGUGCGGUGCUGCAGAUCGGGCGGCAGCGGCGGCAGGUUGGGCACCAGAGGCGGCAGCCUGGGCACCAGAUCCUUGGCUUCGUCGACGGCACCACCAGUGCCGCCGCCCUUCCCUUUCAGCUCCCUCCCGUCGCAGGACGCGAGGAGCGCCACCACCAGCAGCAGGAGCGCGACGGCCAGACGCUUGGCCAUUGCUAACCAAGAACCAACAAUAUAGUGCGAGUGGAGAUCUAUGCGACUCCUUUUCCCCCUCUGCAGUGAGCAAACACGCGUUGUGCUGACGAGCGCCGCGUACAUUCACCUGAAGCAAGCAGAGAUCUCCAAAUACACCAGGAACCUUGCUCCGACCAACCG
rnacentral:lncRNA from 1 species